rnacentral:rRNA from 1 species
AGUUUGAUCCUGGCUCAGAUUGAACGCUGGCGGCAUGCCUUACACAUGCAAGUCGAACGGUAACGCGGGGCAACCUGGCGACGAGUGGCGAACGGGUGAGUAAAGCAUCGGAACGUGCCCAGUAGUGGGGGAUAGCCCGGCGAAAGCCGGAUUAAUACCGCAUACGACCUACGGGUGAAAGGGGGGGAUCGCAAGACCUCUCGCUAUUGGAGCGGCCGACGUCAGAUUAGCUAGUUGGUGGGGUAAAGGCCUACCAAGGCGACGAUCUGUAGCUGGUCUGAGAGGACGACCAGCCACACUGGGACUGAGACACGGCCCAGACUCCUACGGGAGGCAGCAGUGGGGAAUUUUGGACAAUGGACGAAAGUCUGAUCCAGCCAUGCCGCGUGCGGGAAGAAGGCCUUCGGGUUGUAAACCGCUUUUGUCAGGGAAGAAAUCUUCUGGGUUAAUACCUCGGGAGGAUGACGGUACCUGAAGAAUAAGCACCGGCUAACUACGUGCCAGCAGCCGCGGUAAUACGUAGGGUGCAAGCGUUAAUCGGAAUUACUGGGCGUAAAGCGUGCGCAGGCGGUUAUGUAAGACAGAUGUGAAAUCCCCGGGCUCAACCUGGGAACUGCAUUUGUGACUGCAUA